rnacentral:lncRNA from 1 species
GAUACUAAGAAGUUCUUUCUAAUUCCUAGCUGGUAUAUGUCAACUUUAAAAAUCAUGUUCUUGGCCGGGCACGAUGGCUCAUGCCUGUAAUCCCAGCACUUUGGGAGGCCGAGGCAGGCAGAUCACCUGAGGUCGGGGGUUCGAGACCAGCCUGACCAACAUGAAGAAACCCCAUCUCUACUAAAAAUACAAAAAAAUUAACCAGGCGUGGUGGCACAUGCCUGUAAUCCCAGCUACUCAGGAUGCUGAGGCAGGAUAAUCGCUUGAUCCCGGGAGGCGGAGGUUGCAGUGAGCCGAGAUCGCGCCAUUGCACUCCAGCCUGGGCAACAAGAGCAAAACUCCACCUCAAAAAAGAAAAAAGAGGGGCAUCCUACAAAAUACCUGACCAGUACUCCUUAAAACUGUCACAGUCAUCAAGAACAAGGAAAGUCUGAGAAAGUGUCACCGCCAAGAAGAGAUAGGAGAAUUAUUUGUAACGUAGUAUCCUGGAUGGGAUCCUGGAAAGAAAAAGGACACCAGGUCUUUCAUCUCUGAAGAAGGCGGUGGGAAACAAAUGUUAUUUCUCCUCUUCAUACUCCUUUUCUCAUUUAUUCUGCAGAACAUUUCAAAGCAACACCCAGGAACCUUCAGAAUGGUAAAAAAACAUUGAUGCUUAGCUAUGAGGCAUGAGGCAGGAGGAGUAAUACAAAGUGGACCUUUGCCCCAGGAUGAUGACUGAGGUAUGACUAGAAGGUUCUUCAUCCUCUCAAAGAGCAAACUUUUGUGGCAGUAACACAACCAGGCAAGAUGAGAGAAGCAGAUCAAAGAAACUAAAAACAGAGUAAGUGGUUAAAUUAUUUAUGAUGAUGCUGCAGCUGUAUUGAUCAGAGGCAGAUUUCUCUCUUAACCCUACUUUCCUUGUACCUAUAGAAGUUGUCAUCGCCCAAAGAAUUUUUGACCUAAUGUGAAAGUGUGGGGGUUGAUGGAGAGAGAAGUGGGGGGAGGGAGUGGGUGAAUAGCUAGUCAGGACCUUAGUUAAGAGAACACUGGUUAUCCAAUAUGGUUCUACCAUAUCUAAUGACAAACUAACUGAUGAUCUCCACAUAUCUCAUUUCCUAGGAAAGAAAUGGUGUAUCAUUUCACUGUGUACCCUGCAGGGAAAUAAAGGUUCUGCCCUACCUACCAAGAUCAUAUUGCCGUAGCAUCAAAAAGCCCCAUACAAAAUAAAAGCUUUCAAAACACAGCAUGGUAUUAAAAGGACAUCUGUAUUUUAAAAGUCUCGUUUAUUUUGUUUACUGCUGAAUCUCCAUUGCCAGACACUGCCAGGCACACAGUAGGUGGUGACUUAUAUUUAAUGGACUAUUUAAUGAAUGAAUAAUAUUGGCACAUUGCGAUUCCGUAGAUCUAGUUGAGAUUCAGGCACAGAGGGACAUGAAGGCCAUGUGCUCAACAGCAUGUCUUAGGAGGCCACUGGCUCCUGUGAUAGCCUGGGCUGGCCAUCCUAGGCUUGUUCCUGGGCAAAGUCUUGCUUGCUAGAGAAAUAUCAUCCCCUGAGAAUGAGGAUAGCUUUAGGAUAUGUGCACACUGUUCUAAUUCUACCAUUUGAGCAACUCUAAGACAAGGAGUGAUCCUUUGUUGUGACACAAACAAUCCCAAGGAAUUUUGUUGCUCUCUUUAGGCCAAAGAUUGUGUGUAAUAAAUUUCUGGAGAAAACACACUGUUAAGGCUGGGCAUGGAGGCUCAUGCCUGUGAUCCCAGCACUUUGGGAGGCCAAGGCUGGAGGAUUGCUUGAGCCCAGGAGUUCAAGACCAGCCUAAGCAAUAUAGUGAGACCCCCUAUGUCUACAAAAAAAAAAAAAAAAAAAAAAAGAAAGAAAAACUAGCUGGAUGUAGUGGCAUGCACCUGUAGUCCCAGCUACUCAGGAAGCUGAGGUGGGAGGAUGGCUUGAGCCCAGGAAGUGGAGGUUGCAGUAAGCUGUUAUUGCACCACCACACUCAACCUGGGCAAUAGAGCAAGACCCUGUCACCAAAAAAAAAAAAAAAAAAAAAAAAAGAGAGAGAGAGAGAGAGAGAGAAAUAAUCAACUUUACCUGACAUUUGUAGAAUACUUCAUCCAAUAACCAGGAGAAUAUACACUCUUCUUAAGCACACAUGGAAUAUCAUCCAAAAUAGGUGAUAUUCUAGGCUAUGGGUUAGUAAAUUACAGGCCAGGGGGCAGCUGCCUAGUUUUUUUUAAACCAUUUUUAAGUGUUCAACUGAGUAACAUUAAUUAUAUUCAAAACGUUGUACAAUCAUUACCACUAUCUAUACCCAAAACUUUUUCGUCACUCCCAAUGUAAACUCUAUCCAUUAAACAAUCCAUUCCAGACUCUCUCCAGCCCCUCUACUUUCUGUCUCUAUGAGUUUGUCUAUUCUAGAUAUUUCAUAUAAGUGAAACUAUAUAAUAUUUAUCCUUUUAUUUCUGGCUUAUUUCACUUAGCAUAAUGUUUUCAAUGUUCAUCCAUAUUGUAGCAAAUGUUAAAAGUUCAUUACAUGUUAUGGCUGAAAAAAUUCCAUUAUAUGUAUAUAUAUUUUGUUUAUCCAUCUAUUGACAGAUACUUGAGUUGUUUCUACCUUUUGGUUAUUGUGAAAAAUGUAGCAAUGAGCCCUGGUGUACCAGUAUCUGUUUGAGUCCCUGUUAUCAAGUCGUUUGGGUAUAUAACUAGGAGUGGAAUUGCUGAGUCAUAUGGUAAUUCUAAGUUCUAAGAAUUCUAAGAGCAUUCCAAUUUCUCCACUUUGUCAUUAAUACUUGUUAUUCUCUCUGUUUUUGAUUCUAGCCAUUCUAGUGAGUAUGAGGUAGUAUCUUAUUGUGGUUUUGAUUUGCAUUUUCCUAAUGACUAAUAACGUCAAGCAUCUUUUCAUGUGCUUAUUCAGCUGCCUAUUUUCAUAAAUAAAUGUUUAUUGAAACAUGUCCACAUUCAUUUGUGUACCUAUUUGUGGACCUAUUGUCAAUGGUCCCUUUCAUCCUGUAACAGCAGAGUUGAGCAGUGAUAUAGUUUGGAUAUAUGUCCCCUCCAAAUUUACUGUUA